UAGCAGUGAUGACCUUCUUAGGGACACCUUUGAUGAAUAAUGAAAAGAACCCAUUUCCCUCUGAGCGCA
ensembl:snoRNA SNORD58 Small nucleolar RNA SNORD58